UCCAAUACAUCUGAGAAAUUUUCUUUUUUUUUUUUAAAUGAGGUUUUAACUAAAGCCCAAUAUCAAAACACCAUAUAAUACUUUUAUCUCAUUGAGGACAUUUGAUGCAUAUUAAAAUAUUAUUGCUUUAAGGCUUAUUUUGAUUUUUUGCCCAAGAGUGUAUGCAGAGGCUUGCUACUCAGAUAAUAACAAAGAAACCUUAAACAUGAAAAAAACACAUGAAAGGUAAUAUGUUCCCCAUUAGUCCUGGUAUCAUUUCCCCAGGAUUACUGCUUUCCAAAUAUAGCAUUAGUUUAAAAAUAAAAGGCCGUUUACAGUAAUGGGACACUUGUUCCUGCUUUGGAGCUUCUGGGCCCUCCAAGGGGCUUACACAACAGCUUCAUUAAGAACGACUAUUGGGGAGAGGGCUGGCUUAAAGAAAAACAACCCAGCAUGCCUCCUCAAAGGUCCCCCAGAUAGGCCACCUACCCUGACCCAAGGCCCGUGCCUAACAAGCCUUGUAAUUCCUCCUUCAGAACUGCUUUUUUGUGCGUUUCUUUCAGAGAUGAAAACAUUCUGGAAAUUGAUAAGCAAUCCACUGGACGCCACCUGCAAAGAGAAGGGACAUUCUGGAACUCUGCCUGCUGCCCUCAUGAUGGGAAAGAGUGUGGCUGCCAUCCCUGGGAAAAGGGUCCUUUUGGGUUUGGGGGUCUCUGGUCCUGGGAGAUCCAGGGACAACAAACUCCAGAUGGGAAGAUUUAAGUCAUCCACGAAGCACAUGGACCCUGUGUAUGAGCCUGGUUUAUUUGACCCAGACAUGCCAUUGUUUUGCUAAGGAUAGCUCAAGUCCAUUUUCAGUUGGAUGAGCUAAUCUAGCUAAGGGACAGAACAGUCAUGUACAGGGAAGGGCUCUCUCAAGUGCUGCAAGGGCCACUCCAGUCUGCUUCCACAGGCUGGCCUGUGUCGAGCACCCACCGGAAGCUGCCAGCCUGCUGAGGGCCCCCGAUGAGACUCAUGUUGCACAUUUGCUAUUUUGGUCCAACAAUGCAGGUCCCUUCCGGUUUCGGGAGCUGGUCUCCUGGCACUCAUCAAGGGCCCAGCUUCGAGAGGCCUCCGUGAGCCAGGCAUUGAGCUUCCAGCCUGAAGGGAGAGAGUUCUUCUGGUUUUAAAUCCCACUAAAUGCCGACGAUAGCUUGUUGUCAGCAGGGAGGGGAAGAUCAAGAGGGAGGAUGGAAGAGAAUGGAGAGGUGGUAACAAGAGCUAAGACUGAUGGCCCAGAAGCUUGCCUUCUUCCCCAGGGGCUCUGCUUCACCAGGGCUGUCUUUGCCACGGGGAGGGUUCCUUGCCUGGAGCCAAUUGCAAGCUGAUUGGGGGUUGGGGGUUGUGUCUCUAUGUCCAUCUUGCACAGUCAGACUUUGGGCCUCAUUGUCAGACAUUUGGCUACUGUUCUUGAAGCUCUAAAUUCCUCCUUCAGGGCGAGAAUUGCUCAUCCCCCCUCAUACUCCCAGUCUGGGGGCUGGCACAGAGCAGGCAGGCAGCACCCUUGAACCGGGAGAACAAGCGUCUGUGGGUAAGUCCCAUGAACAGACCAGGUGCCUGGAGGGCAGAGCCCCAGGCUGGUUGUCUCUGCAGAAGCUCUGAGAACUGCCACCAUUCAUUGCUGCUACCAUCCAGGUUCAGAGCUGAGUGUGUUACAUGGUUCUCUCAUCCAGUCCCCGCUCCACUACCCUGACUGAAAGUGAUCUUGCCAUGCCUAACUUGCAGGGCAUCGAACUAGGGUGUAGGGAGGCUAACUUGCUAACGCUCACACAGCUAGUGAUGGGGCAGCAGCUCCUGUGCCCAAGCCUUGGCCAUCAUGCUGGACCAUUUCCCUUACCUCUCCCUGGCUACAGUCCGGUGCUCCCAGCAGUGGCUCAAAAGCCCCUCGGAGGCAUAGAAGGUGGAAUCAAUCCCUUUGGAACAAUGUUUAACUUGGUAUCACUGCAUUCUUCCAGGAACUCUACUUCUUUGGGAGAUGACCAACAUCACAGGAAUUGAACACGCAACCAAUAGGUACUGAGUACUCUGCUUCCAGCACUUUGAUGCCCCAAGGAGGAAUACAGAGGCAGCAGGGAGCGCUGAAGAGGAUUCUGAGGAUGAAAGAGACCAGGACCAAUUAGCAACGUCACCCGGGAAAGUAGGGGGAAGGCGGUGACCUGCGCUCCACGCUUGUCAGCCCUGGAUCCCUGGCCUAAGGACCUGUCACCUGCUGAAGCCUGGCCCUGCCUUGCAGGGGAGGCGGGGGCUGGGCAGUCACUGGAGGGCCUGGGCAGGGGGCAGAGCAGCCCCCAGAAGAUCCUCUGUCUCCUGCAUUUCCAACGGGCUCCAAUGACCACUGCUGGGAGAUGCUCCAUUUCUGCUGCAUCAGAGCUGUUUCAAACUCUGUUCACCUAAUAAGGGAGAUUCUCCAGGAAACAUUACCGUAUUGGAUGUUUGGGCCACCCAGGCUCAAAGCAGCCCGGACUGCCUUCCUCCCCAGGUCCCUCUGUGACUGAGCACCUAUGGCAGGAGUGACUUCUCCCAUCCCAGAGACAGGCUCUGAGCACUGCUCCUGACACCCACAGUCUUAGUGAUCCAGAUAAUGU